rnacentral:rRNA from 1 species
GAUGAACGCUAGCGGCAGGCCUAACACAUGCAAGUCGAGGGAGAAGCCUUUCGGGGCAGAAACCGGCGCACGGGUGCGUAACGCGUAUGCAACCUACCUUUCACAGGGGGAUAGCCCGAAGAAAUUUGGAUUAAUACCCCAUAAUAUUGUUGGAUGGCAUCAUCUGAUAAUUAAAACUGAGGUGGUGAAAGAUGGGCAUGCGUCCUAUUAGCUAGUUGGAGUGGUAACGGCACCCCAAGGCUACGAUAGGUAGGGGUCCUGAGAGGGAGAUCCCCCACACUGGUACUGAGACAGGGACCAGACUCCUACGGGAGGCAGCAGUGAGGAAUAUUGGUCAAUGGUCGGAAGACUGAACCAGCCAUGCCGCGUGCAGGAAGAAUGCCUUAUGGGUUGUAAACUGCUUUUAUAUGGGAAGAAUAAGGUGUACGUGUACAUGA